CUUAAAUUAAUUGAGCCUUAGUCAAGAAAUUUGCUAAGUGAUUGUUUCCAUAUUCGGGGAAACCUAGGUUGAGGAGAAUAAACAUAGUAGGUAAUCCUGAGCCAAAUUUUGUUUCCCUUACAAAAUAGGUGCAGAGACUCAAAGGAAACUAUCCAAACAAAAAUAAAUUAUUUAUUAAUUAUUAGUUCGUUCCACAAUGAAUUUUUAUAUAUUUAUAUAUAUAUAUAAGGAUAAAGAUAGAGUCCAUUUUUACACGCUAUGUUUGGCAACGAUGUAAGUCAUUGUAAAAAGAAAAUCCGUUGGCUUUUUAGACCGUGAGGGUUCAAGUCCCUCUACCCCCAUUGAAAUUCAAUAUCUUUCAAUAUUGACAUAAAAUUUACUUUCAUGUUAAUAUUUUCCAUGAUAAAAGUGCCGGGAUAGCUCAGU
rnacentral:misc_RNA from 1 species